UGGUCAUUGGCCAGCCCGCGAGCACGUGGUGUCUCGUACCAAUAGAUCGAAUUUCUAGUUGCAAUUCUCUGUCUGUCCCUCGGCUCCGGAGGGGGGGGGGGUGUAAUAGCGCGGGAGGUGGGGCUAAGGGGACCCUCAUCCUCCCUUUCCGACAAGUGGGGGUCCUGAGCGCUGCCCAGAAGGGGUCCAGAGAAUGUUGUGGGCUGGGGCACACCCGCCGGGGCAGAAAUUGGAGGACACCACCGACGUCGACAGAAUCCUUUCUAUCCUUCCUUUCAGCUGCCCGGUGUUCUCCACCCCUGCGUUAGCACUCUGUAGUCUGGGGACCUCCCGGGAACGUCCCGGGGCUAGCAACCAAGGGGGCUCUCGGAUGCUCUGUGGAUCGCCGCUUCGCCCUUACUUUGGGGACGGUCACACGCGUCCCGCUUCCCCCGGUCGCUUUAGAUCAGGCGUCUGCGCCCUCCCCGGCUCCUCACCCCCACCCCCAGAGUCAAAUGUGGGCCUCUCCUGGAAAUCCUUUGCGAAGGGGACAAACUUUUGAGUGGACGAAAAUCUAUUGGAGCCUGUCCAGAGCAGGUGAGCGGGGCCUGGAGCGCGAAGCUUCAGUCUGGAAAUUUGCGGCUCUGGUUCUCUCUCUCUUCCCCUUUCUCCACCCUGCUUUCUUUGCAGGCGAACUCUGACCCGCGCGUCUUCAGCCCUUCGAGGGAUCUGGGCUGGGGGUGGGCAGCCAUAAGUUUUGGGCUUAGGACAUCUUCUCCUUCUUGAGUUUGGGCACUAGGGUGGCAGCUGGCAGGGGUGGGAAGAGUAGGGAUGCUUCUGAGACGAGGGAAGAAAAGUGAAAAUUGGGGCAAAGAGACCUAGAGUCUGCAGGGGAUUCUUUUCCCCAAAUGCAACUUGAAGGAACUUCAAAAAGUUUUUUUUUUUCCCAAGUGCUUGGUGGGGAGGGAAAACAGAGUUGGGGUUUGAGGUUUUAGGUAAGGGGUGGUGCGGUAUUGCUAGCUCCAGGGUCUGGACUAAGUACAUCCAAAGAACCUAAUAAUCCCAAACCUUUUCGUCCCAAUAGGCCUUAGGGACCCUUGGACUUCCCCAGGAACAGAUCCACAGAAAGGGAGAGGACCCCCAGAGAGUUUCUGGCAGUGCUGGGAUGUAGGUGGGAUAAGGCCCAGCCUUUUCUGGGAUCCCUCUACUGAUUUUAAUUUAGGAGAGGUGCAAGAUGGAACACUCACAGUGCCUUUACUAUUGUUUCUAAUCUAGUUUGACUCAGAGACCCAUUUUUCUAGGGUGUAUGCAACUUUCCCUCCCCCUUCUGGCUCUAUAACCUACAACCUUCCUGCAGUCUCCAGUACCCCAAGGAGACUAGGGAAAGGAGAGAUACCCUACAGGAAGAGAUGAGAAGGUUUUCAAAGGGAGUUAAGAUCAGAAGUCCUUCAGAGAGCUACGUUGGAGCCGGACUAGAGCGCAGGACGGCAGGUGGUUUAAGGGGUAGUGGGUCAGGCAGGCCAUCGAAAGUGCAGUGUGAAUGGUCACCUAACUGGUACCCGGGGUGUACCUGCACUUGAGGUUUUUAGGUCAGGGUCCUCUGGGAACCUGAGGCUGGAUGAAUCAGGCUAAAUGUAAAUGCAAAAACUAAAAAUUGCAUUUGGAGCAAUUUGGGGGAAGGGCAGUGGGUUACUUGGAUCGAAUGGUGUCUCUGGCCCUGCAGGCCACUAGGCCCCACUUAGACUGGAGCAUCUGUGGGGGAGGGGAUGCUUUGUCCAGGAACUGGGUUCUCCCAGACCAGGUUAGAACAGCUUCGGGAUGUGGGGUAGGGGGUUGGAGUUGGGAGUGGAGUAACUGCCUAGAAUAAGUUUGCCGUGGUUGGCUAAAUCUGGACUUUGAGAGGAACCCUAAAGAGGUAGGCACCAAGGGAGUGGCAUUCAAAUAGGAGUGUGAUCAGGGUUAGGGUUAGGGUUAGGGUUAGGGUUAGGGUUAGGGUUGGUGAUGGCUCAUGCCUGCAAUCCUAGCACUCUGGGAAAAACCAAAACCAAAACCAAAGCUUUUCAGAGAAAAGCACAGGGUCAUUGGCUUCCCCCUCCCCCUUCAAUUAAUCUGCUCCCUUUGCUUCUGUCUCCUCAACACCCCCACUCACCCCCAAUGUGGGGCCUGUCUCUCCUUUUCUCUUUGCAUUCCCCUCAUGCUCUUUUUUCUCUUAGGAUUGAUGGAGCCACAAACAGUUUAGAACAGCUUUCCUAAGCCUAUAGUGAGUCCCACCCACUGGGACAUGUUAAGUAAGGGGACACCCAGGAAUAGGGUCCCAAUCUGAGGGGAAUUGAGAAAGAACAGUGUGAAGGGUGGGUAGGUGGGUGCUGACCAGGCCUUCCUCUGGGGAAGGGUCCGUUGAUGCCAUCUGUACACUGUAGGAUAGACUUAGAAACAAAGAAAGAUAGCAAGAUGUGCCAGGAAAAUGCAGAACAACAAAGACAAGAGACUGGGCGGGCAGGAAAAAAAUGUGUCUGCAUGCCUGUAAAAUCCCAAGUGCCCAGCCAGAGGAAGAGACUCUGAGAGACCAGGAAGGAAGGAAGCAUAUAGAAAAGAAAUAUUGGCAGAGGGCAGAAUGGAGAGGCAGAAUCUGGCUCAUUUGGGUUUGGUUUGGUUUUGUGUUAAAAUGAGGGAUAAAACACACACACACACACACAGAGAGAGAGAGAGAGAGAGAGAGAGAGAGAGAGAGAGAGAGAGAGAGAGAGAUUCAUUCCCAGCCCAUCUCACUGGCUUGCAGUGCUCCAUCACCCAGCCAAGAUGAUGUUGCUGAACAAGUGUAGGCCAAAGCCUGAGGACCACAGUGCUCUGUCUUGACCCUGAUGCCAAAGGGAAUCAUCACACUGGGCCACCCUGCUCUGGGCUCUGGGUGCUUCACCUCCGUGACCCUGCUUCUUGGUUUGAUCACCUGUCAAAUAUGCCUUUUGCACUACAAGGUUGCUCAGCAGUUUUGACUUCCUUAAUAGGUACAUGGGAAAAGGAAGAGGAGGGGGCCUGUUCCACCAGGUAGGAGAGGGGAAUCUUUGUUUUCUUCAUUGAUAAGAAGAAAAACCUUGAUUUUGUUGUUUCUGGGACAAGGUCUCACUCUAAAGCCUAGGCUGGCCUGGCACUUCCUAUGUAGUUCAUGAUGUCCUUGAACUCAUAGCAGACUACUUUACCUGCUUUACCCUUUUGAGUGCUGAAAUUUACAGGCAUAAACCACCAUAUACUGCUUAAAGAAAACUUUUCUAUCCUUAGCAAAUUCUUUACUACACUCGUUUCCAUCAGUUACCCCAAAAGACUACAAGGUUAAGGGGUUUCCCCAUGCUUGGAUAGGUGAGAUUCAUUUGAGAGGAGUUUGGUAUGAAGUUUAUAAACUCUGGAGGAACUAAAGAAUGAAUUCUGUGUAAGAAAGGGCAUAGGGCCAGUCUCUGAGCCGAGCAAGUCUCUGGUGCAUGGGGUAAUUUACAGAACCCAUACAAGGGAUGAGUUGUCAAAAUGACUCUAGACUCUGCUUGGAGAAGAAUCAACUUGGUAUUUGUUGCCUGUUGGGCCUGUACUACAUUACCUAUGCCUUGUCCUCAGUGCUCCUGUGGAAACUGCCCAAUUAGAUUCAAGGUUUGUUUUGUUUGUUUUGGUGUUGAGGCUCAAACCCAAUAUCUCAUGCAUGCUAGGCAGGUGCUGUCCCACUGAGCUAUCCCCUUCUCCGUGUUGUGACUCAGGUUUCUUUGUGUGUAUAUAAUAUAUGUCUAUGUGUAUGAUUCAGGUUCAUUUGUACAUUUGUGUGUGUGAGAGUACUUGUGAGGUCCUGGGGUUCAAUCCUCAGCACUACAAAAAUAAGAUAAAAGUACAUCUCCUUUGUUUCCCCCAAAGUGGGAUGGGAUAAGUCAUUGGGUCAGGUCUUCCAAGAGCAGUGUAACCCUUGAUCAUUGGCUGAGAAAUCCCCCAACUCAACAGCUAGAGAGGUAAGCUGGUUCAGUAAAAUCUUCACAGUACCCUCUUCAAAGAGGCCUCUGUCCAGCACUUCCUAUAACGUUGCCCCUCUUCUUUCCUCCAAUCCUCCCCCUCCCUCUCCUCUCCUCCUCCUCCCUCUCCUCCCACCCCCCCACCCCCCGCCUUUGUUUUUGUUUUUUGUUUUUUUUUCCUGGUGUUCUUUCCCCCUUUGUCUAUGCUGAGCCAGGACUCUUGAUUUUUGUAUCCCAGCAGGCCCUGCUCUGAGACCCUGAGGCUGGCUGGCAUACACUCUGCCUCUGUCUGGAGUUUAUAAUGAGGAUGCAAAUACAGGGAUUCAAAGAAGAGGCCCUAAGUGAGAAGCCCGGGGAUUUGCUAACCAGGGGCAGGGUACCAGUUGUGACUUUGACCUUUAUAGCCUUAACUCACUGUAGACAAUUCUGCAUUUUCCAUUUCCACUCCAUCCCUGUUUCUGGGAGAGAGGUGCUGGUGUCCCCAAGGUUACUGCUCUCUGGGGAUGAGGGUCAGUAUCACAAAUUAAAACCUUAAACUUUCUAAAAACGAAAAGCACAUUUCCCUAUUCUUUGUGUGUUUGGGAGGUUGUGUUUCCCACUAGCCUAGCAGACUCUGACCCCUGAACAUCAGAAUGUGGAUUCCCCUCAUUGUCUACACCAACCCCCCAAGAAAGGCUCAAUCCAGGUGACUGUGGAAAGGAUGAGCCCACACUCACUUCCUCAUCCCUCAUCUGCUUUGAAGGACUCAGGACCUCAGCAGGCUGAACAGCCAUGAGGAGCGAAGCUGAGUGGCUUCCCACCUCCUUUGAGCUCCUCGCAGUUCUGUUUUGUGUGUGGUUUGUCCUCGCCCCUCCUCGGACCUGGAAAAUGAAUGUUUAACCCCGCUCUGCUCAUCUCUCCCUGUGCCCUGUUCCUGUCAGCCUCAAAGCUGCCGGGAGGAAGGACCUGCAGCUUCCAGUCCUGCUCAUAGUCAAUGAAAAUUCAAAUUCUCUUCUCAGCAGAAGGGCAGCUGCCUUCUUCUCCGUUUUCCCUGCACACAUUGAUCUGUCGCGAGGGCACCUGGGGGUCAGAAGAGAGGCCAGGCUCUUUUAAUUUGGUCUGGAAUUAGCAUAUCCUAUCACACCAAAGGCCAGGAUUUCCACAUCCAGGAGCAGGAGGUCUUCACCCAGACCUAGACCUGUUCUUAGACCCCUCAAGCCAGCAAUGAUAUCCACAUUUGUUGAGGUGGAGACCUAGGAGGGAAAAUGAGCAAUUUGGCCCAUUUUUCAGGCCAGUAGCUGCAGCUGUCUGCUCUGUUAAUAUUUUCUUCAGUAUUCAUCACAGGCAAAGCACCGCCUUUACCUCGGAGUGCCUCGAGGAUAGGAAGAUCUUUGCCACCCUGAGACCUCCGUGUGUUGUGGAUAGAUACACAAAUAAACAGAUGGGGAAAAAAAAGACAAAUUUGGUGUCUGUCAACUGAUUUUCACGGCAGUCUUUGCAUUUGUCAGGUGUCGGGCUCUCAUGUCUUCUCAGAUCUGUCCCUGCCACCCUAGUCGGCAGGGUGACACACAGCCCGCUGCUUUUUCCGGGACUUGGCGCUUUCAUGCCCUGAAGUAAAGGGUAUGGAAUGGGUGGAAAAGGAAUGGAGGUCCUGGUUACCUCUCAGCUUUGUAAUGCAGACUGUUCCGUCACAGUGCAGGCACAUGAGUGUGGGGGUGAUGUCAUCCGUUUCUCCAGGCUGACGAAUAUAUCUAUAAGUUUAUCUUGGUAUAAUUGCACCUCUGAAGGUGAACACAGGGUGUGCGUGUUCAAGAUGGUUGCAGAGGUGGACAAGUGGACCCAGUCCUAUCUUAGGUGCCCGCCCCAAGCCCAAAGGCCUGUACAGGUCCAACUGCCAGUACGUGGAGGGUGAUGUGGGUGUAUGAGGCCUGAACAUAUCUCUGCAUACGUGACCCUCUGUGUGCCAGUUUGUGUGCACUGCUGAAUUAUUACAAAAUUACACUGACCCUUACAGAAAAUCCAUAUCAGCCUCAACCCUUCUUCUCCGACCUCUCGACCUCUGGGGUGCCUGAGGAAAGAGCUGACCCGGUCGCAGCCACCCCUAGUCAAUGAGCCUCUCUCCAUUAGCAUAAAACAUGAAUCUGCUGGCAGCUUGACAGAUUAUAACUAGCAGCCAGAGUUUUGCCAACUGGCUGGCUUGGGCGCUGUCUAUUUAUCAUUGAAAAUGGUAAAUCAUAAGAAUCCAGAUGACUUAAUUAUUCAAAUCUACCCAGGGCCCAGAGAAGCUGCAGUCCUGUCAGCCUUAGCCCUGGGCUCAGGGAGGCUGGUGGGGGCUAAAACCCUGGCUUGGAACCAGAAGAGAGAGAAGCAGGUCCAGUCUUCACCCUCCGUGCGGCCCAGUGGGCAGGGCCUUCCUAUGCAGCUCCUCUCCUGCCUGCCUUCCUCCCCACCUUUCCUAAAGACAGACUGUCUCUCUGGGGCUCUUCCCUUGGGCGGCCACUGCCUGCUAGCCCUUCUCAGCCCACACAGUGCUUCUCCCACCCUUUGUAUUAAUCUGGCAGUCUUUAGCAGGCUCAGGGCCUUCAUUUUAAUUUCUUCUUUUCUUUUCACUGCUGCCUUCCUCUUCCCUCCCCUUCCAGAUGGACACAGACACUCUACAUCCACCCAUAGUCUUCCCCUUCUCGCUUGGACCUUUGUACCCUCUCCUUGGGAUCCUUGGGUUCUGCACUAUGUUAAUCCCGUGUUCCCUCCAAAUUUGCUUUUAUCCAGUCCAAGGCUACAAAAUAUCUCUAUGUCACAUACCUUUUCUGUCCUGGGCUUCUAUACAGCUUCAGGGACGGUAGACAGGCCAGAAGAUGUAGCCUUCUCUCCAUUAAAGCAGGACUGUAUUCCAAGAAAGCCAACCCUUUAGUGCUGGCACCACAGCACCUCAAAUCCCAGCAGAGCCUUUCAGACAAACAGAGGUGAGCCUACUGUGCUUCCGGGGCUCUGGUAGGAAAAUAUGCUAUUUAUUCUAGAUUUGUUCCCCAAGGAAACCUGUGUUCUCCAGUCCUGUAGAGGGACUCUAAGUGGGGGGACAACUGUGUUCAUGGCUGAUGUUGGCCUCACCCUGACAGUCACUGGAGGCUUCUUUGAACAGCACCCUGGACCACAACGGGAUAAAGGCUUUACUUUCUACUUUCUGCAAGAUACUUGUUGGUCCCUGCCAGGCUGUAUGUUUGUGUCGGUGGCACAUAAUUCUGUGGGCAAGCUGUGGUGAACAAACCUGCAUACAUGUGCAUGUGUGCACGUGCAGGAACACAUUGCCAGAAAAGAGCUCUGUGCUUCAACAGCAAGUGGCAAUGUCCCCACCAGCAGGACGCCCGAGGGAACAGUCUUUUCUCUCUGUUUCAUUUUAAGACCUUAUUGCUCUCAAUAAAAUACUGAACUUGAAUUUUCAUAAAACUCUAAAAGAACUGCUUCUGCUGCUAAAAGUAAGUCCUUCCUAGAGUCUAACCUUCUCUUCCUUUCAAGAUGAAGUCAAGAGAUUGGGCAGGGAUCUUGGGAGGGGAAGACCCCCACACCCUGGCCUCAUAUAGGAAAACACAUAUAGGAUUCCAGUCACCAUCAUGACAACAUAGCACCCCUCUCUCUUGCUCCUUCCCACAUUUCCAAGACAUGUUGAUAUUUGACAAGGGCAGUGGUGAGAGGGUGGAAAGGCUCAAGAUUCAAAAGUUGGCCGAGCAGCUGGAGGCAGGAGAUCAAUAGGAAAGAAAGAUUGGAGACAGAUCUCUCUCUCUCUCUCUCUCUCUCUCUCUCUCUCUCUCUCUCUCUCUCUCUCUCUCUCCUCUCCCUCCCUCCCUCCCUCCCUCCCUCCCUCCCUCCUCCCCCUUGCUGGUUCAGCACCAGGCCUAAGCUCCUGAAAGCAGGUGGGAGGCCUAGUCAGCUCUGGCCUUUUUCUGCCCUUCUAACUCAAACAGGUUCCUAAUCCCUGGGUGGAGGAUAAACAGCUUCCAGCUUAGCCAGGAUUUAGCAUAGAAAGGCCACUAAGGGACCUGAAGGCAUGUUCCCCACACUGCGUUACUCAUUAGCCCGGGGAAUCUGGGAGACGUGGUGGACUCCUUUGUACAGAGUGUCACUGGUCCCAGAGGUGUGGAGGUGAUAGAGUGAUUUCCACCUCCUAGCUCUCUGCUUCCUGAGCUAGGACAGGGUGGGGCUCUCGUCUCUGCUCUUCACACUUGGGAGGCAGAUGGGCAACUAGAGGGAGUGGGACCAGCUCUGAAAUAUCAAAGGACCCAAUAAAAAAUUAAUCACUUAAUUAAAAUCCAUGAGGAAGCCCCUUGCCAGAGUCUCACGAAUCCUAAGGGCUGUGAAGGCCUGGGAAAUGGGUCUCUUCUCCCAGUGAAUUCCUGGGUUACACGGAGCUUAGGCAGGCAGCAAAGCCUCGUUGAACUUUCUGCCUGGUGGAGCCUCCUGGAGGUCACCUCCUCCUGGUCUCAGCCUGGCUACUCACCUUUCCCACCUGAGGUUCAAGACCUGCACAGGCUAUCAAAAGAAACAACACCCUACUGCCCAAAGCAGGCAAGAGUUCCUAUUUGCCUCAGUCUCCCUGGCCUGUGUUCUUCCUGUGCUCUAGAAAUUUCCACACCUGUAGUUCUUCAUUUCUGUUUGUUUUGAGUCCCACAACCCCCUCUUGUGUUGUUGUCUGGCAGGGCCUUUCUAUGAAGCUCAGGCUGGCCUCGAGCUAGUGAGCCUUCUGCCUCAUCCUCUUGAAAACUGAGAUUACAGGUUACCAACAUGGGUAGCUUCUGUCCUCCACAGUGAAAGGUGCAUUUUACAUAAUUUAUGACAGAUUCCCUUUUUUAAACCUUAGGGCUGAUUUUAACAUGUGAAAUGUAGGCGAAUAAGGGACUAAUCUAGGACUGAGGAAGUAUGUCAAUUCAAAGACACCACUCUAGGCUACCAUGUGCAAAGUUUUCAGUUGGAGCUCCAGCACCAUAAACAAUUUUUGUUGUUGCUUUGUAAGGCAGAGUCUCUCUGUAUAGCCCUGGCUGACCUGGAACUCGAUUGUAGAUCAGGAUGGCCUUGAACUCACAGAGAUCAGCCUGCCUCUGCCUCCAUAGCACUAAAAUUAAAGAUAUGAGCCACUAAAUAAAGUCAAAGAAAAGAAUCUGAGGUCUGGAGAGAUGGUUCAAUUCUUAAGAGCUCUCUGCUGUUACAGAGGACUCAAGUUCUCAGUUCCCAGCACCCACAGGGUGGUUCACAAUCAUCCAUAACUCCACCCAUAGUCUGACACCUUCUCCUGACUUCCUUGGGCACCAGGCUUAUACAUGGUAUACAUACAUGUAUGCAGAUAAAGCCUUCAUACAUAUAAAGUAAAUAAAUCUCAAAAAGGAAUCUGGACCCUGAAAUAGAACUAUGCAAUCCUUUCCCAGCUAAGCAAGUCCUCUUGAGAGUGAACAAAGAGCUGGCAUAGCUGGGUGUUGCCGCAGUGUGCGUAAAAACCCCACCUCCUCAUUGGAUGCUGGCAUGUCUCUUCACUUGGGCCUGCCCUAUGGGCACAGCAAUGGGACCCUGUUUCCUCUUUCCUUUGUCAAAGGCAAAUGUGAAUGGUGGCCUAUGAGAAGAACUCAUUACUCUUCCUGUUGUAGGAAAAGGGAGAUGGUAGAGUACAGAACACAGGAUAUUUGUCUAUGAUCAGCAUCUUUAAGCCAAUGCAGUGGGACAGCUGAGGGCUGACCUUCAAAACAGUCCUGGUAGGAGGACAUGUAAGUACUUUUAAAUGCACCUCUGUUGAUAAAAAUAUUUCUGUGAUGCCAUCUUUAAAAAUUUGCUUUAGGAGGCCAGGCAUGGUAGCACAUGCCUUUAGUUCCAGCACUUGUGGGGCAGAGGCAGAAGCAGGCAGAUCUCCAAGUUCAAACCCAUCCUGGUCUACAGAUUGAGUUUCAGGGCAGAUAGGACUACACCAAGAAACAAACAAACAAACAAACAAAUGGCAUUAGGAGCUAAAGACAUGCUCAGUGGUUAAACACUAGCUGCUCUUACAGAGGACCUGGGUUCAGUUACUAGCACACACAUGGUCACUCAUAACUGCCUGUAACUCUAGGUCCGUGGUAGCCAAUACCCUCUUGGCCUCCAUUGCGUUCUUGCACACAUGUGGUGUAUAUACAUACAUUCAGGUAAGGGAGAGCCCAUGCUCACGAGCACACACACACACACACACACACACACACACACACAAAAUAAUAUGUAUAUAUUUUAAAUUUACUCUAGAGCCAGUUUAUAAAAUAUUUGAAUCAAUCAGUAAAA
rnacentral:lncRNA from 1 species